AAAGCAAAAUUGCUAUGUUUUCCUGAAUUUUCUUAGUCGGAUUUCCGUUGCAGUGAGCAAGAAAAGAACGUCUGCAACGAGGCGGAUCAUAUUGAGUGGUGUAAGAUCGAUGAUUGUAUGAGAAAUCCUCUGGCUGGCUUCUGAAGAAACUGAUGUCAUGUUCACAUGUUAGAACAUGGAUAGGUACUUCUGGAUUGUCCCUAAAUCCUGGGCAGAGGCAUACCAAAGAAUUUCUUCUGAUUGGUUAUCAUUUCUACACUCACCUGCAUGGUUCACAUUUUCUCCUAAAUACAUUUUCUUUG